AAUCUUGCUCACUCCACCAUCAAGAGAACCAAGCUUACUCAUGCUGGAGUCCUAAAUAUUAACUCUGUAUCGGGGCCCAAAAACCCAAACAAAGCAAACCGACAAAGGUAUGCUAUUCCGGGCUCCCAAAUCGCACAGGGGUCUGUACCAGCAAGACCCCCUCAUGAUUGGAAAGUUCUACAUUCAGUCAACAGGUAAAAUGCUUUGGAGUUCAGUGUGAAAGGAAACUGGGAGAGAGGAAGGGAAGGUUGAGGCUUCAAACUCAGCUUUCCAUGGGAAAGUUUGCUUUCAACUGGGAAGUGUUCUUAAAGAAUCCAUAGCAAAGAUCCAGCCAGCAAGGCUCUGAGGGGGCGUGUUCCUGCUGACCUUUGCCCUUCUGUUUCUGUACGUAGUUAUAAAUACUGUAGAUUUCUUUUGUGAUUUUUUUUUUGCCAAAGUUGUUGUUUUAUUUAUACAUUUUAAUGUCUUAAGGUGAUUUUCGAUCUCACACACAAAGGAUUUUGCCGCAUAUUUUGCAAAUAAAUAAAAAGCGCGCUACCUUUAGCUUGCACAUACUUGCAAAGUUAAUUCAAAGGCUUUCUGUUUGUUUGUUUUAAUGGGGAUUUUGUAAAAUAUCCAUAUAAAUAAUGUAUUUAUCUCUGGAAUUUGUACAUUGCUUUUCUCUCCUUCCUCCAACCCCCCCCCAGCCCCAGUUUAUUUUGUGUGUGUGUUUGCUUUGUGAACAGUGCGCGCAUAUAGUUUCGUCGCCUAUGGUUGUAUUAACUGUUUCAAUGUGAUUUUUAAACAAUUCAUUUAUAGGUAUUUUUAGUAUUGUUUUAAACCAUGCUUCAUUUUUUUUUAUUUCCACCCAAAAGCCAUUGUCUAUUUUUGUAUUAUUUGUAAGUUAAGAAGUUUUUUCCAAUAUAUGGCAAAAAAAAUUAGUAGCAUAUUAUUCUUGUAGUAUUUAGUUCUGUAGAUUUAAAAAUAAUGUAUCCUUUGCUUUGGAAGCAUACAAAAAAUGCUGUUUUACUCUAUUAAUAUGCAUGGAAUCUCUCCCUUUGGAGUGACGCAUUUUGUGCAUUAAAUUUGGGGGAGAAACUUCAUAGAGAUCAAUGGACAUACUUUCUUUCUUAAGUCUGCUUGUAUAUUCUCUGUCUUUCACAUAAAUAUAAACCAGCAGAUUGGAUGCCUUAACAAUGCAAGUCACACCCAUUUCACCUGUACAUUGUACUGUGCACCCCCACCGUCAGCCAUCACUCACAUCUAAGAAAAAAAACAAAGAAAAAGAAGAAAAAAAAGAGAAAUGGAAAAGCACAAACGAACUGUUUUGUAACUUUAAGACAAUGUUACUUUUUCUAGUAGAGCAAGUGAACAUUAACGAUGCUGCGACUGUGCAUGCCCCGUAUGGAUUUCAACGGUUUUCACUAGACUGUCAGAGUGCGGAUUUUUAUGGGUUGGGGAGGGCAGGGGAGGGGAGUUGGGAGGGGGGACUGGUAGGGAAGGGGAGGGAGGAAAGCCGAUUUUUCAUGGUGAGAAAUAAUAAUAAUGACAACUGAUGAUAAUAAUAAUAAUAAUAAAAAGAAACUGGAAAAAAUAUAAGCAA
rnacentral:lncRNA from 1 species